AUGCAUACCCUCCGAACUCUCCAUCAUCGUCCUUGCUUUAAGGUCGCUAUAGCCAUAAAAAACCCCGGCGACGGACUUGGACAGUCACUUGUCGCAGUCACGAAAAUGAACUACACGGUGGUGAUCUGUUUACUGGUGGUAUUUUCCUCUAUUGCAGACUCUUGGGAGGAUGAUGAAGGGUUCGAUGCCCAAGUUCUACGGGCUUAUUCGCUCUCGCAAGACGUCGUCGACGAGAUAGCGCGGGAGAUUCGAAAGCCCAGACGACCGCAGGGCGUGCGAGGACAGGGUCGUGCCCAAAGGAACAUCCAGCCCUAUGGCUACUCCUACGAUUCCUACGAAUUAGCAGCUGGCCCGAGAGCGGUUCGCAAUGAAGACUUCCAGGAGUACAGCUACCCCGAUGGAGAGCUCAUCUCGCACCGAAGAGAUGCAUGCCAACACCCAGCCGAAGAGUAUGGCCGAUACCACCCCACAGCCACAGCGUUCUACCAGGAACCAUACAACCGUGCAAUACACCCUUCGAUAGGAUAUUCGUACGAAAACUAUCAACCAAUAAGCUGGCAGAAACCACAUUACUAUCUUUCCAGAGACUACGGCUAUAAUCUUUGCCAAUCCAGGGAGCAAGCAAUCCCUCCCUCUGAGUUUGCAGCCUCGACUCAGCCCAUUACAAGCCAAAACUUUCAGCCUAUAUUCAUGUCUCAGCCUGGCUCUGACUUCAUCCAACACCAUGCAAAUGAGUUGCCAACUACAUCCAGGAUGGCAGAUUUUGUGACAGAGGAGCCCAUCUUUCUGGCCAAGUAUGCAACAGAGCACCUGACAGGAAUAAACACCAACUUUCAAGACUCCUUGCAAAACGAACAUGAGAGCCUGGAUGAAUCAGGUCAUAUGAUACCACAAUGGAAGAUAGCAUCCAUCGAAGGACCUCUGGACAAUAUUUUGUCACCAGCUGAGAUGAUACAGGAAGCAAACCAGAAAUGGUUUUCAAUCAGCGAGCAUCUGCCUGAUUCAAACAUGCAGGUCAAGUCAAUAUUGGAGCCAUUUGAUUCUCAGGUGCCAACUAUGGUACCAACAAUGUAUCCAUUUUCGAGUGGAAUUAAUCAUUUUGUGCCAUAUUAUGGCAGGUAUUGGGGAUAA
rnacentral:lncRNA from 1 species